rnacentral:rRNA from 1 species
GAUGAACGCUGGCGGCGUGCCUAAUACAUGCAAGUCGAGCGAACGGACGAGAAGCUUGCUUCUCUGAUGUUAGCGGCGGACGGGUGAGUAACACGUGGAUAACCUACCUAUAAGACUGGGAUAACUUCGGGAAACCGGAGCUAAUACCGGGUAAUAUUUUGAACCGCAUGGUUCAAAAGUGAAAGACGGUCUUGCUGUCACUUAUAGAUGGAUCCGCGCUGCAUUAGCUAGUUGGUAAGGUAACGGCUUACCAAGGCAACGAUGCAUAGCCGACCUGAGAGGGUGAUCGGCCACACUGGAACUGAGACACGGUCCAGACUCCUACGGGAGGCAGCAGUAGGGAGUCUUCCGCAAUGGGCGAAAGCCUGACGGAGCAACGCCGCGUGAGUGAUGAAGGUCUUCGGAUCGUAAAACUCUGUUAUUAGGGAAGAACAUAUGUGUAAGUAACUGUGCACAUCUUGACGGUACCUAAUCAGAAAGCCACGGCUAACUACGUG